GUUCUCUACUGGCCACUAGGGCCUGGACACGAGUUAGAUACCGCUGACCGGCUCAGUAGGAGCGGCCAUCUUGUUUACGUUAAGAUUACGUUUUAGGACAGAACUAUAAUACAAGACUAUUCAGCACCAGUAUAUCUUUAUUUAUGACUCUAUCAUCGUUGUAGAAUAAAAUACUAUCAGACAUCGAGAAGCAUCUCUUUCUUCAUUUAGUGUGACAUUUAAUGACACAGGCAAGAACAACUACACCUGUGUACCGUACACCAACGUGGAGUUUGGUCAAUAUAGAAGUUUACUGCUUCUCGUUAAAGAACCCCCAAGUAUUGAUGGAUGUCAGGUUGUCAGUAAGAAUAUGAUCAAUGGAUCAGUGGUUGAAGGAGAAAGAGUGACGUUGUCGUGUAACAUCACUGGUAGUGAUCCACUGAACAUAACAUGGACCAAUGGUAGUCACGUGUGGAAUCGAGUGAACCUGACGUUUAAUUCUGUCAACAGAGAAAAUACUGGAAAUUAUCACAUGACAGUCAACAAUGGCAAAGAGUGUAAAAAAACAGCAUCGGAAAAUCUCUCACUCAGUGUAUACUGUUAGUGUUAUGUCACAAUUGUAAUUUUAGUGAUCUGAACCUAGUUUUGUUAUACAGCUUCAAAUUGUCUCGUCUAUAUCGAUCACAUGAUGUGAUGGUGUGUUAAUGUACCAAGGGCAAUUGUCUACCAGUUGUUUUAGAAUAGUCUAAACUAAUAGCUACUAGCUAAUCUAAUUAGUCAUCUCGCACUAAUACCUGGCCAUUAGAGCUGAAACUGUGUGUGUCUAAUGCAUACCCCAUUUUUUCUCACAUUAAUUAUCUUCUUCAUCAUCAUCAUCGUCGUCGUCAUAAUCAUUAUUGUGAUUGUUAUAGCAUGAUUGUUAAACAAUGCCAGAUAACGUGUUUUACUUUUUCCUAGUUUA